UUGAUCAGACCAUCGUGCAUCCAUCUCCUCAGGCUUCUCCUUUCCCGUACUUUCCCUCCACCUAUUUCUCUCUCUCCACCUUACAGGAAGGUCUACUUAGCGAUAAAAGGGAGGGGAGCCGCUAGGAUGGAUCUCUGUGUUGGAUUUGCUGGAUGCAAGGUGGCCACGCCAGCUACCUACAUAAGUAUGGACAGGGAAGGCCUGCAAGGAUGUAUUUGCAGGCGGGUCGUGGUACCAGAGGUGGUUCGCCACUUCCAAUAGGCUGCUGGUUGGCAUUGUGUAUGCCGACAGAGAGAAACUUUGGCACAGUGGUACAUGAUCUUUUACACUUCCUAUGCACCUGGGAGUAUAUGCAUAUUAAAAAUGUUUCGCUGACUUAUACUUCUUACAAUUUAAUCUUUGGUUCUUAAUGUAGCAAGCCGCCUUGCUAUUUUGUGUGUCUGCAAAUUUCUUCAGCCAUGGUUUACAUCCCAAUUGUUUAAAAUAUAUGAAGCUAAAAUUUCAGGCUUGAUGUCGAUGAUUCUAGGUAAGGAUGAUUAUAAGUCUAUGCAUCUUUCACCAUUUUGUCCUCUUACAAAUGAUGAUUUAUACUUCUGUAGGUCCAAUCUAUAAUUAUGUACUAAAAGUUCAGAAAACUUUGGCAAUACAACAUAAUGAGAGGUCCAUGGUAAAACAAGAAACAAGUUAUUUUGGAGCAACACUGAGAGUUAUUAUUAUGAGGGUAUAAGAAGGUUGGAUGCAAGAUCUGAUUUAGAGGGAAAUGGCCUGUGGAUUGAAAAAUGGAUUCAACAGGUAUUUGCCGACUCCACCAAAGUAGAGAAUAGGAGAGAAAAUGGUAGUUGUGGAAUGUACUAUUGAUUGGCCUUGAAUAUCUGUGGAGCGGCGCUAGCUUCUCGUGGGUUUUUUCUGGUAAGGCUGCUAAGCUUUUAUGUUUGUAGGAAUUUAAUGAAUCACAUUGUAAAUAGAAAAUUUGCUCAUGUACAUUGCAAAAUGACUGCUAUAACAUGUCACACCGGCUUCGAUAUUUCACAAUAGUUUUUAAAUCUGUUCCAGCUAAUGCCAUAAUAUGCUCUAGAACUAUAUGAUGUCAUCUGUAGCAAUAAGGCACAUUUUUGUCUACUGAGGGUAGAGUCAACAUACCUUAGUGGAGUUCAUUUUCUGCAACUUAAUUUACAUAGCCUGUAUAACUGAAAGUUGUGGAUACUGUAUUUUUUCGGCGGUGUUCACUAUCGAUCACUGUUGCCAUCAGAUAGCUACAAAGAACCGCAGCGGUGUUCACUAUCCAUCACUGUGGCCAUCAGAUAGCUACAAAGAACCGCUUGAUGUUAGUAAGAACUUUACCUUACAAGGUGAUAAACCGAUGCUAAUUUUGUCCCCAACAGUGAGUUUCUUAAAAAAAAUGUAAAGAUAGGCCAUGAUCAAUAUACAAUGGUUAUGUUAUCUGGAUUUAGUAACUAUAGGGAGAUUCACGUCAACAUUUAAAUGGAUUCCUAUCUUUUUCUUUCAGAUUUUAAGUUCAAAUUUGUCUACUUAGAAGGUGAUGAAGUCAGCACAAGUAAGCAUUGAGUUUCCAGUUAUUGCAGUGUUGGUAAAGAGUAAAUCUAGGUUCAUUCCAUUAUAUUAUUUCCAUACAAAUUAAGCCUGCUGGACUGUAACACUACACACUGAUGACUGUGCAUUCCUAUCCACAUAAGAGAACUCAGAAUGUGAUAACUUGCCUGAUGUGCUUCCAUGACUUUUUGACUCUUUUUUUGCAUGUCUACAUACUCUCACACAUUUCCAGUACAGUUAAUUUGUACCCCCAUCUUGGGCUCCUGUCGGUAGGUCUAUGUUUCCUGGUUGCUUGACAUGAUAUGUUUCUGGUUUACCUCCUUAUCAAUUCGCCUUUUAUAGGCACAUGUGGGUUUGGUUUGGGCAAACUAACGC